UCUCCCAUUUUCCCUCGCCAUCUCUCUUUUUCCCUCUGAAACUUCUCUCAACGCUCUCUCUCUCUCUCUCUCCCUCUCAGUGCUCUCUCUCUCUCAGACGGUGACGGUGACGUCGAAACUCACUGGCGUCGGUUGACUGGGUUCGAAAACGACGGUGUUUUGGGUCUGGCGGAGGUUUUGCUCAGAAGACGCCGAAGGUUUGGGUUCGGUAACGACGGAGGUUUGAGUACGACAGGGGUUUUGCCUAGAAGACGCUUGCAGUUUGGCUCUGGCUCUCUCUCAGACCACUCUAUUAGAUUUGGAGGUUUAGCUCUGGAAACGGCAGUUUGAUUUGGGUCCCGUACACGAGCGAAGCCGAAUCAAAACCUAGCUUUGUCCUCAUCCAGAGUCAAUCUGAGAGCAAGUAUGUGUCUGCACGGGACAAGUGACUGAAUUUAUUUCUGGAUUCACAGGAAGUGCUGGUUGCUGGGACAUGAGGAUCUUCAACAUUCUACUAUACUAGUUUUUUUGCAAACAAACAAGACCUCAAGGAUGCCAUGACCCCAACCAAAAUUACAGAAUGCCUCUCUCCAUAGCAUCAAGAAUCAUGAUUGGCACAUUCAAGCUUGACGUGCCCUCACAGGAGAAAGCUUGUAUGAUGGUUUAGGUUGGAUUGCUCAGCAGGUUACCGGGAAAGCACCAAGUCGAAUAAUGGAAGAAAUUAGGGAAACAAAGAAGAAAGAAAAUUCAUUUAUCCCACUCAUUCAUGAUUGUGAAGGAUGAGUGAUAAAAGCCACUUUUGUGUAUUAUCUAAACUGUAGGAGAGCUCCUUCCAAACAGAUGUGUAGAUUUUUUUUUUUUAGUUUUGAUUUGCCCAAUUGUAAUGUUCUGCACAAUGUAAUCAUUUUGCUCAUAUGACUAUUUUGUUUCAAUUCUUUUGGUCUCUUUUGGAUAA